AGCGAACGCUGGCGGCAGGCUUAACACAUGCAAGUCGAGCGGGCGUAGCAAUACGUCAGCGGCAGACGGGUGAGUAACACGUGGGAACGUACCUUUUGGUUCGGAACAACACAGGGAAACUUGUGCUAAUACCGAAUAAGCCCUUACGGGGAAGAUUAUCGCCGAAAGAUCGGCCCGCGUCUGAUUAGCUUGUUGGUGAGGUAACGGCUCACCAAGGCGACGAUCAGUAGCUGGUCNGAGAGGAUGAUCAGCCACACUGGGACUGAGACACGGCCCAGACUCCUACGGGAGGCAGCAGGUGGGGAAU
rnacentral:rRNA from 1 species